GUUCUCUAAAUUACAUUGUUUAAGAAAAGGGAAAAGAAAAAAUAUCUUUUUUAAUUUUCAAAUGGGAGAAUAGAGCCUCUCAUUUCUAAUAUGUAUUUCCUUCUGCAAAAACAUGGUCUAGGCCCAUGGUCUUGAACUACUGGACAUCUGAAUUUUAGUAGGUGCUGGAUUCAGGCAACUGAGGGGUGGCUUGGACACACUAAGUGCACGUAAAUAAAAGGUUUGAGGUGAACUAAAAGGUAAAAGAGGGGAAGGUGCUAUUAAGAACCCACAGUUGGGAGACAGUACAGGGUUGGUGGAAGGACUGGUUCAUGCUACAGAUACUGACCCAGGUGAAACUUUACUCUGACUUAUUUCUGUGUCCAUGCAGGAAGACGAGAUUAUGAUCAGGUGGCACAGAAACCUGGGAUGGUGAAAAAACCAGGUUGCCCCUGCAGAUUCGGUGUCUGAGGUAGAACGUAUGCCAGGGGUCUUGUAGGCACAUGUGUGGGUUUUUGGUGGGAAAGUCUAUGAGGAAAGGUAGCAUGGGCAACAAUCUUGAUGCCAAAGCCUUGUCCUGAGAGGGGCUUGGCCACAUCAACAUGCAGUGUGUAUGUUCAGUGGGUGAAAAACCUGUGGUGGCCUCAGGUUGGCAGGAGGGUAGAAGGCAUCUGUUCUCAGAACUUCUUCCCUCAGAGUCGUCGGUCCUUCUUACCAUGGGAGAAUGCCUGGAACCACAGGGCAGUGCAUGGUGUAGCAGCCUGUGUGCAGAGCAGAGCCUACCUUCCCCGAGACACCUGGAGUCUCUCUCCAGCAGAGGCCCCCACAUUGUCUUUCUCCUUACAACACUUUUGAUCCUAAAUGUGUAAAGUUCCCUGAAAACCCACUGCUUCUCCAACACCCAUUUGUUGCCCCAAAAUUUAAUUCUGACACAACUUAGAGUUCACACAGAUCCCAGAAAUUCAGGGCUCAGUCCCACAUCACCCCUCUCACUGUAGAGGAGAGUUACACAUCCCUGAAGCCCAUCUACACUUCUGAGCUACCUCCUAUAAAUCUGAGACUAGCAUAAACCCCUUUUCAAGUUAAAUAAUUUGAUAGAAUUACUAAAAAGAAAACCUCAACAAAUAACUGUAAUUAUAUUUACUACUUUAUUAUAAAAAUAUAACUCAGAAACAGCCAAAUGGAAGAGAUGUCUAGGGCAAGGAACAGUUGUGGGUGAAGGCAAUCCUGGAAAUAGCUAUAUUUAAAGAAAUUCCCCCAUUCUUUGCAUUCUCAAAGAACAGCUUAGUGAAGAGAAACGUGCUUCCCCUGAUGACUUUGAGGAUGCUCCCUGCUGUUUUUUUAACCUAUCACAAAAAUGGACACAGAUUGCAAAUUCCCAUUUUUAAAAAUGAACAACCAUUCAGUAAUUUAGUCUUCAGUGGUCCAAAUAACAUACUCUUAAAGAAACUUUGCUUGUUUCUCUUCUUCCAACCAGCCCCUGAACUUUGACUCACCCACAGCUUCAGCAAACCUACAACCCUUAUUUAUACAUACCCCUCCUAAGAACAGGCUGAGUUCAAGGUGAAACAUUAUCUUAUCUGGGAUCGCAUUUUGCUACCCUCCAUCGUGUGCUUCCUUUCCAACCUUCUUUGUAAACUUGUUUUCUCCUCCCUAUGAAAUAAGGCCCUUUUCCACCUAACCUUAGAGAUACUCAAAGAUCUAAUCAUUUGUACUUUUUCUUUGUUGCAAUACUUCUUAGGUAACUUCUUAGACCAAGUCUAGAAACAGUCUGAGGACAAUAACAAUUCCAUUCUAAAAAGAAUCUCCCAACAUUUCUUCUAUCUCAACCUCAACUGCAUCUGCCUGUGAACUUCCAGCUUACCAAGGCUCUAUAUCUUCUGGCAGUGACAAAGGCUCCUUCCAUGAUAUGUAUUCAUUUCCUACCACCGUAGUGGAAGAGAGAUUUUCCCUAUCUUUACAACUGAUAGCAUUUCCAACAGUAAGCUGUGAGAUUCUGCUUGAAAUCACCUCUCAAACAAAUAAAAAACAGACCUGGGAGACAUGCUACACUCAUUCUGCUGAGGAAAUAGGCAUCAUAGCUGGGAAACGGAUUCACAAGACCCAGGCUGUUCCCUACAUAUGUUUCCUCCUCCGACAUCAGUUCAUCAGUCAAUCAAGCCAUGUGAGAGUGGAGGCCUUGUAUUCCCUAUUAUUCUUGGGCACUCUACUCCAAGUAGGAAAAGGCCAGGAGGUCCUGUUAAAGGAUGCACUCAGAGCCCGGGCUCCCUAACAUAUGAGAGUGCUAACCAGCAGGUGUAGACUUUUCAGGAGUGAAGAAUGAGGCAGGCAUUCCAAACCUGGACCUUCAUCACCUUUUGUUUCAUCUCAAGACAAUUCUGAGGGACUGUUUUGGAGCGUGUCUGGAAGGUGAACCUUGAAGAAGAGUGUGGGCUUUGAUGUGACUCAGUUGAGAUCUUUCAUGGGGAGGCAGGAAUUCAAUGCCCAGAAUCUGGGCUGGUGUCUUUGAGGUCAGUAGGUUGCGUCUUUGUAUCCAAGUCCAUUGUUACUAGGUUGGAGGCUGGAGAUUCUAAAUGGCUUCCAGACCAUCUCUCUGAUUCUCUUUGGGAGAUGGGGUCUGAAAGACAAUGUCAGUAGUUUUGGGAAAUUCUAGAAAGUGUGCUUGGAAACGUGGGAAGAGCUCUUGCCUAGUGCCUAAAUGCUCCAUUUGCAGCUCUAGCCAAGUAGAUACUUGGUAGGUAUAGAGCCGGGUUUGCGUUUAUAUCAGCAAAACCUAUGUCAGAGUUGAAGAAGUAGUCAGGAAAAAGCGUCUUGGUCGCAGGCCGGGGAACAUCUUAAAAGCAAACUUCUAGCCUGCUGACUCUUGGCAAUGAGUGUUGGAUCCUGGCUAAAGUGCCUUGAAUGCAGCAUGAGGCCAAUCCAUGAAUCCAACUUCUCAUGGAGAAAUGUUAAUAUUUUUUCAGUUUGAAUCAAUCAGGGUGAAACUACCAUGCUAUUGGUUUGCUUACUUUUUAUUAUUUCAUGUAAAAUCUAAGACAAAAUACAUUAAAUGCUUAUUGACAUAUGUAUUUAUUCUUCACCAGGCUGAUAAUAUCUGCCUAAUUUUAAACUUUCUUCCAUUUUGUAGGUUUCAACUUAUUCUAUUGUAAGAUACUGUUAAAUCUAAUAGAGGCAUUGUCACUUUUACGUAUAAUUUUAUUUUAUUUCAUAUAUUUCCUAUUGGCUUUUUACAUUUAAAUUAUGGAGCACUUCAUCAUAUAAAAAACUUCAAUUAUAUUUAAACAGUAAGUCUUUGGAUUUUUUUGCCUUGUAAUUUCCAUAUUACAUAAUAAUGAGAUAAACAUUAAUGUUUUCAGGGUACUUUAAAUUUUAGAUAAUUACUCAUUGUAUUCAUGUGAAAUUUGUUUUUACUGCAUGUGUGGGUUGGAGGACUGUUUUCACUUCUGAUUCAUCUUUACUCUUAUCUCAUCAGAGCUCAUACCUCUUGUAGUUGGGGGAUUGCAGUUUAUAAUUCCAAUAAAUGGGGCAAAUUCAAUAAUAACAUAAUACAAAUGAGUUUGAAUGCAGGACAGGUCUUCAAAGCAUACACAACAUGGGCCUACAUAUGUACAACAAUAAUAAUUUAUAAGUUACUGUUUGGAUGGAAAGUAAAAGUACAGAAAAUUUGUUAAAGGAAAUUAAAAUGGAGAUCAUGUCUCAAUAAUCUCUGAGCAGACAAAAUUAGUUAGGUCUCAUAAGUGAUCUCAACCUCGCUUGAUUUGCAAAUACAAACAAAACUUAAAUUAUUUCUUGUAGCUGCAUAUUGAAAAAAGAGAAAUGAAGCUCAACCAGUCAGAAGUAGCCAACAACCUUAUAUAAAUAGAAACUGUCCAACAAGGUAAACAGACAAACAAAAAACAAUAAAAAAAGUUGUGCUACCACCAAAUGAUUUCUUUGUUUCUACAUUUUUCAAAUAAAUACUUGCUUCUUACACUGUCAAUGAAGCACUCAAUAUCUUUCCGUCUGAUAUUUUAUAAUUUAUCAAUUGCUCUUACUCAAAUAAACACUUUGCAAUUUCA
rnacentral:lncRNA from 1 species